CAGGUGUUCUACUCUGCUAGCCAGCACCUCCCCUAACCAGGUGUUCUACUCUGCUAGCCAGCACCUCCUCUAACCAGGUGUUCUACUCUGCUAGCCAGUACCUCCUCUAACCAGGUGUUCUACUCUGCUAGCCAGUACCUCCUCUAACCAGGUGUUCUACUCUGCUAGCCAGCACCUCCUCUAACCAGGUGUUCUACUCUGCUAGCCAGCACCUCCUCUAACCAGGUGUUCUACUCUGCUAGCCAGCACCUCCUCUAACCAGGUGUUCUACUCUGCUAGCCAGUACCUCCUCUAACCAGGUGUUCUACUCUGCUAGCCAGUACCUCCUCUAACCAGGUGUUCUACUCUGCUAGCCAGUACCUCCUCUAACCAGGUGUUCUACUCUGCUAGCCAGUACCUCCUCUAACCAGGUGUUCUACUCUGCUAGCCAGUACCUCCUCUAACCAGGUGUUCUACUCUGCUAGCCAGCACCUCCUCUAACCAGGUGUUCUACUCUGCUAGCCAGUACCUC